CACGCCGUAAACGAUGGAUACUAGCUGUUCGGAGCAAUCUGAGUGGCUAAGCGAAAGUGAUAAGUAUCCCACCUGGGGAGUACGCACGCAAGUGUGAAACUCAAAGGAAUUGACGGGGGCCCGCACAAGCGGUGGAGCAUGUGGUUUAAUUCGACGAUACACGAAGAACCUUACCUGGACUUGACAUAGUAAGAACUUUCUAGAGAUAGAUUGGUGUCUGCUUGCAGAAACUUAUAUACAGGUGC
rnacentral:rRNA from 1 species